rfam:Truepera radiovictrix DSM 17093, complete genome.
CUUCGCGCCUAUAGCGGCAUGGACCCACCCGAUCCCAUCCCGAACUCGGAAGUUAAGCAUGCCAGCGCCGAUGAUAGUUGGGGGGCGACCCCCUGCAAAAGUAGGUCGGCGCGAGGA